CAAGGGAAACAAAUUGAAAUGUGGAGAGGUGGUUCUCAAUAGUCAACCAUCAAGCCGUCAAAAUUCAAAUAUAAACUGACCCGUCGCUGCGGGGGUUUCCUCCGGGUGCUCCGGUUUCCUCCCCCAGUCCAAAGACAUGCACGGUAGGCGGAUCGGCGUGUCUAAAGUGUCCGUAGUGUAUGAAUGGGUGUGCGAGUGUGUAUGUGAUUGUGUGCCCUGCGAUGGAUUGGCACCCUGUCCAGGGUGUACCCCGCCUUGUACUCGAUGCUCCCUGGGAUAGGCUCCAGAUUUCCCCGUGACCCUGAAAAGGAUAAGCGGUAUAGAAGAUGGAUGGAUGGACUAACCCGUACAAGGCCAUAUGCUUUUCACCACACACAAGAGUCUAGAAUAGUUGAAUGUAUGAAUGAAUGAAUGAAUUCAUUAAUCCAUCCAUCCAUCCAUCCAUCCAUCCAUAAUUUUAACUUUCAGGCCAGACUUUUUCAAACCAACCUCAAAGUUUUUCUACAAAACUUUGUUUUGUAGUUUCAUUCUAGGUUCAUCUGUUUUUUUAAUUUUUUUUUUAUCUUGCACAGUAUCUCCAUGCGGCAUCCAGCCAGAUGUUUGUGGUAGACCCAGCAGGACAUGAUAAAGAAGCAAAAUCCAUGCAUGCAGCGACUAAAUUUCAGUAAUAUUUUUAGCUUGUUAUAAACUGUACCUAAAAAGAUGGGUUACAAAUUAGAAGAAAAAAAAUAAAAAGCGUGACUGUGUGAAGAGGCCCACUUCUUUUUGAUGUGUUUUCUUGUCACAGGGUAUUGAACGGUGAAUGAUAUGAUGUGUCCUUGUGUCCUUUUCUAUUACCGGAUCGUUAAUAAAUUAAACAAAAAAUUCGAUUUUGGACCAAACUGUCAGCGCUCUCCAGUAUCAUCUUGAAAAUAUGGCGUUUCCAAAUAUCCCUUGCCGUUUGACCAUAAACUCAUCCAAGGAGCGCAUGGAACAUCUGCGACUGACAAUGGCAGAGGAGCUUCUGAAAGCCGCAGAGCGAACAUAUAACUGCAUGUUUUCAGUAUUCAAGAGGGGACACUACUGCUCAUUAUGUGCUGCCUCAAAAUCCCCGGGUGGUGGUGCAAAAACAUUUUGGGUGGGUAAUGUAGCAAUGGUUAUACCAUUUUUAUGGGCACACCAUUUUGUUUACGAGUGUGUGUUGUGUGUGUAAGAGAGUGAGUGAAUGAAAGAGAGAGACUGAGAGAGAGGGUGAGAGAGUGAGAGAGAAACUAAUUGAUUACUGAGCGAUUUGAUAAGAUUACUAUGAUCAUUUUUCAGAUUGAAUGUCACUGCUGCAAGACGGGGUUUCAUGUGGCAUGCCUUUCUUUGUCAGCGAAGCAGUUUAAAAGGGCUCAAAAGGUUGACUGGAAGUGCUGCCUAUGUAAAUCAUUUUGAAUUCCUUUGGCUCCCAUCCACAAACUAGACAUGUACGUUAAUAAAUGAAAAGAAAACAAAUAAAAAUGUUUGAAAUAUGAAAAUAUUCGUGGAUCAUCAUUGCUUUUAAU